CCUACGGGAGGCAGCAGUGAGGAAUAUUGGUCAAUGGACGAGAGUCUGAACCAGCUAAGUAGCGUGAAGGAUGACUGCCCUAUGGGUUGUAAACUUCUUUUAUAUGGGAAUAAAAUGUUCCACGUGUGGGAUUUUGUAUGUACCAUAUGAAUAAGGAUCGGCUAACUCCGUGCCAGCAGCCGCGGUAAUACGGAGGAUCCGAGCGUUACCCGGAUUUAUUGGGUUUAAAGGGAGCGUAGGUGGAUUGUUAAGUCAGUUGUGAAAGUUUGCGGCUCAACCUUACAAUUGCAGAUGAAACUGGCAGUCUUGAGUACAGUAGAGGUAGGCGGAAUUCGUGGUGUAGCGGUGAAAUGCUUAGAUAUCACGAAGAACUCCGAUUGCGAAGGCAGUUCACUGGACUGCAACUGACACUGAGGCUCGAAAGUGUGGGUAUCAAACAGGAUUAGAUACCCGAGUAGUC
rnacentral:rRNA from 1 species